UGGUGGAGUGAUUUGUCUGGUUAAUUCCGAUAACGAACGAGACUCUAGCCUAUUAAAUAGUUAACGCAUGCUGAGCAGUGCUUGUUAACUUCUUAGAGGGACUUUGUGUGCAUAAUGCAAGGAAGUUUGAGGCAAUAACA
rnacentral:rRNA from 1 species